rnacentral:rRNA from 1 species
AUUGAACGCUGGCGGCAUGCUUUACACAUGCAAGUCGAACGGUAACAGGCCGCAAGGUGCUGACGAGUGGCGAACGGGUGAGUAAUGCAUCGGAACGUGCCCAGUCGUGGGGGAUAACGCAGCGAAAGCUGUGCUAAUACCGCAUACGAUCUAUGGAUGAAAGCGGGGGACCGUAAGGCCUCGCGCGAUUGGAGCGGCCGAUGUCAGAUGAGGUAGUUGGUGGGGUAAAGGCUCACCAAGCCAACGAUCUGUAGCUGGUCUGAGAGGACGACCAGCCACACUGGGACUGAGACACGGCCCAGACUCCGACGGGAGGCAGCAGUGGGGAAUUUUGGACAAUGGGCGCAAGCCUGAUCCAGCAAUGCCGCGUGCAGGAAGAAGGCCUUCGGGUUGUAAACUGCUUUUGUACGGAACGAAACGGCGAGCUCUAAUACAGUUUGCUAAUGACGGUACCGUAAGAAUAAGCACCGGCUAACUACGUGCCAGCAGCCGCCGUAA